UACGAAGGGGGCUAGCGUUGCUCGGAAUUACUGGGCGUAAAGGGCGCGUAGGCGGAUAGUUUAGUCAGAGGUGAAAGCCCAGGGCUCAACCUUGGAAUUGCCUUUGAUACUGGCUAUCUUGAGUUCGGGAGAGGUGAGUGGAAUGCCGAGUGUAGAGGUGAAAUUCGUAGAUAUUCGGCGGAACACCAGUGGCGAAGGCGACUCACUGGCCCGAUACUGACGCUGAGGCGCGAAAGCGUGGGGAGCAAACAGGGAUUAAGAAACCCCUGUAA
rnacentral:rRNA from 1 species